AAGAGAGAAAGAGUGAGACAAGAAGACAAAUGCAGGAGACAGAGAAAGUAAGAGAAACAAAGAGAAGACAGAAGGAGACAGAGAGGGAGAGGGAGAGAACAGAGGAGAGAGAGAAGAGAGAGAGAGAAGAAGGGAGAAAGUGAGUGAGGGAGAGAAAGUGAAAGAGAAAGAAGGAAAAAGAGGGAAAGAGGCAAGGAGAGGGAAAGAGAGGGGAAACAAGGCAAGAGAGAGAGAGAGCAAGAAGAGAACAAGGGACGGAGAGGAACCACAGAGAGGAUUUCGCAGCAGCCUGUUGCUUACUGCAGCCAUUGCCAACCUUGAGCAAUUCCUGCGGUGCGAAGCAGCUCCCCGAGUCUGACCUUGGAGACACAAGAGCAGCUGCAGGAGCUCACAGAAAAAUGGCAAAUUUGGGCUCAUUUGCCUGGUGAUCAACUGAACUGCUGAGCUACCCCACAGGCAGUUUUGCCCUACCCAGGCAACGGCAGUGAUCCUCGCGAGCUGGCGCAUGAUCAGCACCUCCCUUUUCACCAGUGCCUUGGUGCUCUCUGCUGCUGCUGCUGCUGGAGGAGAAAGCACCCAGAGCGCACUGGCAGCCCCAGAACAAGGAUUUGAACAGCCAGCAAAGGCUAACAUACCCAGGAGCAACGAAGCCGCACCCCUCAGCCUGGAGCUUUGGGAACAGGUUGAAAAGCUUGUAUAUCCUGACGCGACUGCUGCAAUGAAAACACAAUCACACAAAACAUCAGCCAGCCAAAGAAAUGAAAAAGUUACCCCGCACACAACGAGAGGAGGGACGGAGCAUCUCCCUGGCUCCCAGCAGAGUUCGGCUUGGCGCACACCUCACGUGGCUACUGAACUCCCCGAGGUAAAUACGCAGCGUGGAAUCACACAACAGCAGGCAGCGAUCAACAGUUUCCACUAAGGCCACUGAGCCCCAAACACCGACGAUCCCAAACCUGGAGCGGAUGAGCCGACCUUCAGGUCCCUUCGGGUCAGUACUGCUCUGCACACCUGCACUCAGCCUUACCGUAGCCAGGGCUUCCCACGCAGUUAUCU